UUAGUAGGUUGGUCAUGCCUCUGGUAUGUACUGGUCUCACCGACUCCUCCUUCCUGAUGAACCGUAAUGCCAUUAAUUUGGUGUUGCGGGGAAUUUGGACUGUUACUUUGAGAAAAUUAGAGUGUUUAAAGCAGGCUAACGCUUGAAUACAUUAGCAUGGAAUAAUGAAAUAGGACGUUCGAUCCUAUUUUGUUGGUUUCUAGGAUUGACGUAAUGAUUAGUAGGGAUAGUUGGGGGCAUUAGUAUUCAAUUGUCAGAGGUGAAAUUCUUGGAUUUAUGAAAGACUAACUACUGCGAAAGCAUUUGCCAAGGAUGUUUUCAUUAAUCAAGAACGAAAGUUAGGGGAUCGAAGACGAUCAGAUACCGUCGUAGUCUUAACCAUAAACUAUGCCGACUAGGGAUCAGACAAGGAUCUUUUGACUUGUUCGGCGCCUUACGGGAAAC
rnacentral:rRNA from 2 species